AUGAAAAGGAACAAAGUCAAGAAAAAUCAGUCAUGUGCUCUCAAGCUUGAUAUGAUGAAAGCAUAUGAUAGGGUGGAGUGGCCUUACCUAAGGGCAAUAUUGAUAAAGCUGGGUUUUACAAACCGGUGGGUUGAUAUUGUGAUGAGCUUGGUCACCACAGUCAAGUUUUCUGUGUUGUUUAAUGGAAAGAAGCUACAACAAUUUAUUCCUUCAAGAGGUAUCAGACAAGGGGACCCGAUAUCUCCAUACUUGUUCUUGCUGGCAGCAAAGGGCCUUUCGUGCCUGUUAGAAUCUGAAAGUGAGUCAUCCAAUUUGCAUGGACUACAGGUAGCUCCUAUGGCGCCACCAGUAAGUCAUCUUCUAUUUGCUGAUGACAGCCUGCUGUUCUUCAAGGCUAACAGUGUGGGGGCAACUGAGGUGCACCAUGUACUGGACACUUACUGUCAAGCGACUGGGCAGCGUAUCAACUACUCAAAAUCAUCAAUUUAUUUUAGCAAGGGGGUGCCUGAGUCGGUCAGACAAGAGAUCAAAGAAACACUUAACGUUCCCAAUGAAACACUUAAUGAGAAGUAG
rnacentral:rRNA from 1 species